AUGGCAUUUAACUGUAAGCGGAUAGCUAAGUCUGAAGGGUGUUGCCGGCAAGACAAACAAAUGAUGAGAUGUGCAACGACUGCUCUAAAGCAGAUGAAAGAUAUGUUUGAAACAGCUUGGUGUCCGGUUAAAGAAAAAUCGGACAAACAAUUGAAAGGAUACAAUGGUUGUGUAAUAGAUCCUGCAUGUAACAUCAAAGAAUGUCCAUUUCGCGGAACUGGUGUGGCGCCUAACGUUUUACAGAACUAUUGCACAAAAAGCAUCGAGAAAACCUUCGGCGGGCAAUCAGACCGUGACGCCAUGCGGCUGUUGCCAGGCGAAGUAGGCCUGCGUGGUGACCGUGCCACGUUCUCUUUGGUUCGUGGCGACUGCUUAGGGUACGACAACUAUAGUACCGGUGGCGGCGAAGUGUACUACAACAUACGUCCGAACGUAAAUCAGUUUGCGGAUGACGAAGAAGUUAUCUACGUCGAUAGCAACGAUCUGCAGGAGCAAGAUCAAGAACAGGAUCAGGAUCGGAAUCAAGAGCGUGAUCCGGAACAGGAUGAUAAAGAGAACGACAAUCAGCAGGUGGAAGAGUUAGAAGAACAACCAUUGUCAAACGAACGCAAGCAUGUGAUGGAAGUGUUACCUAAGUCUGUGAAACCAAAGCUGGGACCAGUUACCGGGCUGCCUGUCAGCGAUGACGAGCACGUGUUCGUUCUAUGGCUGGGGAAGCGACCGGGUGAACCUGACGAGAAAGCCCGGCUGCAGAUCGAGGUGCGCGUGCCCAAAUGGGUACCAGAUUCAGAGGAGGAGACAUCUGAAACAAUGCUCGCGGAAGAAUUACCUGAAGUUACGACGAAACCGAUAAAAGAAAAAAAGGCUAGUAGCUCCAAGAAGUCCGGCAGAUCCAAAAAGUCUCGCAACUCCAAGAAGUCCGGCAAGAAUAAACAGAAAUAAAAUCUAUGAAAAAAUUCAACCCCAGCAGAAUUAAAAACUCUAGAACAAUUUUCCAUUGGUUUGCAAUCCUCUAGCCAUAACAGUAACCAAAUCCCUACAACAUCAAAAGAUAUGGCAAUGUCAACUAAUAUGAAACCAGAUAUGCUACGAGUGAGAUUAGAUAAACUAGGUGAAAUUCCUUCAACAUCUGACAGAGUCUGUAUUGAAUGCAAAAAUUCAUGUUUAUUACA